rnacentral:rRNA from 1 species
UACGUAGGGUGCAAGCGUUGUCCGGAAUUAUUGGGCGUAAAGAGCUCGUAGGCGGUUUGUCGCGUCUGCUGUGAAAACCCGAGGCUCAACCUCGGGCCUGCAGUGGGUACGGGCAGACUAGAGUGCGGUAGGGGAGAUUGGAAUUCCUGGUGUAGCGGUGGAAUGCGCAGAUAUCAGGAGGAACACCGAUGGCGAAGGCAGAUCUCCGGGCCGUAACUGACGCUGAGGUGCGAAAGCGUGGGGAGCAAACAGG